rnacentral:sRNA from 1 species
GAAAAGGGUGCCUUGGUGUUUUGACUAGAGAGCAUGCUUUGAUGCUCUUGCAUUGACAAAGAAGCCAUACGUUGAAACUAUGGUACCCACCUUGAUACCAUAGGGAUAAAGAAUAUUGAACUAAAACGGUAAUCUGGACAACUA